CAAUGCGAUACCUAGGUGCGAAUUGCAGAAUUCAGGUGAAUCAUCGAGUCUUUGAACGCAAAUGGCGUUCUCGGGGUCUUCCCGAGAGCACGUCUGCCUGAGUGCCCGUUUCCUGUGGCCGCUGCAGUUGCUUGCAGUGGCGAGUUGAAGCGUCGCCCUGCCCAGUCGGGUGGGGCGUCCUUUGAAAGAGGGCAAAUGCUGCAAGGUCUGCAUGGUGGGCUUGCGACUGAGCCACUGUCGAUGUGUCCUGCCCCCCCCCUGAAGCGACGGAUGAUGUGGCACUGUCAAUGUGGGCCUCAGGUCAGAUGAGGCGACCCGCUGAAUUUAAGCAUAUUAAUAA
rnacentral:rRNA from 1 species